UUGAACGCUGGCGGCAUGCCUUACACAUGCAAGUCGAACGGCAGCACGGGAGCAAUCCUGGUGGCUAGUGGCGAACGGGUGAGUAAUAUAUCGGAACGUGCCCAGUCGUGGGGGAUAACGCAGCGAAAGCUGUGCUAAUACCGCAUACGAUCUCUGGAUGAAAGCGGGGGACCGAAAGGCCUCGCGCGAUUGGAGCGGCCGAUGUCAGAUUAGCUAGUUGGUGGGGUAAAGGCCCACCAAGGCAACGAUCUGUAGCGGGUCUGAGAGGACGACCAGCCACACUGGGACUGAGACACGGCCCAGACUCCUACGGGAGGCAGCAGUGGGGAAUUUUGGACAAUGGGCGCAAGCCUGAUCCAGCAAUGCCGCGUGCAGGAAGAAGGCCUUCGGGUCGUAAACUGCUUUUGUACGGAACGAAAAGGUCUGGGUUAAUACCCUGGGCCCAUGACGGUACCGUAAGAAUAAGCACCGGCUAACUACGU
rnacentral:rRNA from 1 species